AGAGAGAGAGAUAGAGAGAUGUGUUGGUUUCGGUUGUUUGCUUGAUUUGUGCAGAAAGGGUAGAUAAUUCUGGAGCUUUUCAGAAUUGAAGGAGGACGAACACAGUAUUAAAACAAAUUGAUUGAGAGCUGGGUUGCUUUUAAUCGGUGGUACACAUAUCAUUUGGGUUACCUCUAGAGAAGCUACAUAGGUUUGGUUAGAAGCUGAGAUUUUUUCGUGCGGUCCGAGUCUUGGUCUCUUUGUAUCCGCUCUCUCUCUAUUCGAGAUUCUCCUCCAUGGCCUCCAUGACAAGACCCACAAAUGCUCCGGUGACUCCUGCAGCUCCCUACUCCAGUUCCCCAACCCCAAUUCUAGCUAUGACCAGCUCAGUUAAUCUCUGAUCCCAUUUCCAACUAACCCAACUCUCGGUCUGCAACAACCAAGAAAUCAGAGAAAGAAAUUGAAAAACCCAUUUGGCUACUCCAAGAUCUCCCUCCCUCUUCACUAGGGGUGGGUUCGUGAAACAGAAAACCGAAAAAAAUCGAGCCGAAAGUCGAACCGAAUCCGAAAAUAGCAGAACCGAAAGAAAACAAAACCGAAAUGAAAAAAUUGAACUGAACCAAACCGGUUCGGUUCGGUUUUAUGUUUUAGUGGGUCAAAACCAGACCAAAACAGAACAUAACAGCAUAUGCCAAAACGACGUCGUUUUACCAUUAAGUCAGAAAAUAAACCCUAAGGUCCUGAUAUAAAUAGUUUCUCACAGGCCAUAGCCGCAUUCUUCAGUUCCUUUCUUCAGAGCCUCCAAACUUCCAGAGCCUCUCCUUGUCAUUUUCAGUUCCUCUCCUCUCUCCCCAGAUCUUUUGAUUAUUGUUUGUCUUUUCAUUUUUCUAUUCGCUGCAGUAAUGAUAAAAGAUUUGGAGCAAGUGGUGGGAAACUAGCAAUGGUUUUGAACUCCUUUGAACAUCCACAUAUUCAGGUAAAGUGGUCAGCUAUUAAUGUAGUUGGCCAGUUGUCUAUUUAUUUGGCCCCAAGUUCAAUAUCAUCAACAGGUGUUUUCUGCACUGAAUCUGAAAGAGAAAAGAAAGUGAGGCAGCAUUAACAAUUCAAAAGAUGAAAAAAAAGUAACGAACAAGAACUGGUGGACGAUAGACUUGAAGUGGAGUGCUAUUGCAGAAGCAUGAUUAUCCAGCUCUGAUGAUGUAGAUUUGGACUAUCCUAAAUUCCUAAUCAUAAAAUUUCUGAGGCAACAAGAACCAAUUAUCAAACCUUUCUAGCUGUUUAGAGGAUAUAUUUCUAGAUAAUGUUUUUAGCUUUUUUUUCUUUUUUCUUUCCAUAUCGAAAUGGCUCCAUGGCCUUGAUUUUUUCCAUAUUGAAAAGGCUCCAAUGGCCAUAUUGAGAA